rnacentral:rRNA from 1 species
GAUGAACGCUGGCGGCGUGCCUAAUACAUGCAAGUCGAGCGAACAGACGAGGAGCUUGCUCCUCUGACGUUAGCGUCGGACGGGUGAGUAACACGUGGAUAACCUACCUAUAAGACUGGGAUAACUUCGGGAAACCGGAGCUAAUACCGGAUAAUAUAUUGAACCGCAUGGUUCAAUAGUUAAAGACGGUUUUGCUGUCACUUAUAGAUGGAUCCGCGCCGCAUUAGCUAGUUGGUAAGGUAACGGCUUACCAAGGCAACGAUGCGUAGCCGACCUGAGAGGGUGAUCGGCCACACUGGAACUGAGACACGGUCCAGACUCCUACGGGAGGCAGCAGUAGGGAAUCUUCCGCAAUGGGCGAAAGCCUGACGGAGCAACGCCGCGUGAGUGAUGAAGGUCUUCGGAUCGUAAAACUCUGUUAUUAGGGAAGAACAAAUGUGUAAGUAACUAUGCACGUCUUGACGGUACCUAAUCAGAAAGCCACGGCUAACUACGUG